UAUAUUUUAAAUUAACAAUAUUUAAAUUAUUUUAAAUGUAAAAAAACAUUUAUAAAAAAGAAAGACGAUAAGACCCUAUCGAACUUAACUUUAGUUUAACUGGGGAAGUUAAUAAAUUAAUAUUUUCAUUAAAAUAAAAAUAAAAAUUGACCUAAUACAAUUAAUAAUAUAAUUAAGUUACCGUAGGGAUAACAGCGUAAUAAAAUUUUAUAGACCUUAUUAAAAAUUAAGAUUACGACCUCGAUGUUGAUUUAAUAUUCUAAUGAUUCGCGCAAUAGUGAAUUAAGAAAGUCUGUUCGACUUUUAAAUAAUUACAUGAUUUGAGUUCAGACCGGUGUAA
rnacentral:rRNA from 1 species